rnacentral:rRNA from 1 species
GGGCACUCUGGAAGGACUGCCAUCGACAAGAUGGAGGAAGGUGGGGAUGACGUCAAGUCAUCAUGGCCCUUAUGUCCAGGGCGACACACGUGCUACAAUGGCCGGCACAACGGGAAGCGAGUUCGCGAGGACGAGCGGAUCCCUCAAAGCCGGUCGCAGUUCGGAUUGAAGUCUGCAACUCGACUUCAUGAAGCUGGAAUCGCUAGUAAUCGUGGAUCAGCCAAGCCGCGGUGAACACGUUCCCGGGCCUU